rnacentral:lncRNA from 1 species
GGCAAUCCUUUGUUGCUAUCAAGGUCUGGAAAGAGUUGAGCGCAAGCCCUCUUGGAAGACUUGAGGUCACGAUGGGAACACGAGACAAACGUCUGUUUCAGUAAUUUCCAUCUUUUUCUUUCCCACUUCCUUUCAGCUCGCGGUAACUCUUUAUCACUACUGAAAAUGACUGUUGACCCUGUUUUAGCUUGAAGUUUUUAACAGAAAUGUCACAACAUUUUAGUAGUUCCAUACUUUCCUUUUAUUAAGCACUUGCUGGUUGA